rnacentral:rRNA from 1 species
UACUCCUACGGGAGGCAGCAGUAGGGAAUCUUCGGCAAUGGACGGAAGUCUGACCGAGCAACGCCGCGUGAGUGAAGAAGGUUUUCGGAUCGUAAAGCUCUGUUGUAAGAGAAGAACGAGUGUGAGAGUGGAAAGUUCACACUGUGACGGUAUCUUACCAGAAAGGGACGGCUAACUACGUGCCAGCAGCCGCGGUAAUACGUAGGUCCCGAGCGUUGUCCGGAUUUAUUGGGCGUAAAGCGAGCGCAGGCGGUUAGAUAAGUCUGAAGUUAAAGGCUGUGGCUUAACCAUAGUACGCCUUGGAAACUGUUUAACUUGAGUGCAAGAGGGGAGAGUGGAAUUCCAUGUGUAGCGGUGAAAUGCGUAGAUAUAUGGAGGAACACCGGUGGCGAAAGCGGCUCUCUGGCUUGUAACUGACGCUGAGGCUCGAAAGCGUGGGGAGCAAACAGGAUUAGAUACCCUGGUAGUCCACGCCGUAAACGAUGAGUGCUAGGUGUUAGACCCUUUCCGGGGUUUAGUGCCGUAGCUAACGCAUUAAGCACUCCGCCUGGGGAGUACGACCGCAAGGUUGAAACUCAAAGGAAUUGACGGA